GGGAACUACUUGUGCUAAAGCUGAGUAAAUAUAGCCAAUAUCUCACACAAGUCACUCAUAGAUAGCAGCUUUAUUUGCAUAUUAUACUGUAUAAAAGGAGAAGAAGAAAGAGGGGAAAGUGAAGUAAACAGCAGCUCAACACACAACUAAAGGAAAUACAACCAGAUCUAAAGACUCCUGAAGAAAGACAGAGGAAAGAUGAAAGCUGUAUGUUUUUCUCUCCUUCUCCUGCUGCUGGCAUGUAGCUUUGGAGAGGGCCUGAGAUGCAACCGUUGUAUUGGCAUUGGCUGCAGUAACACAGUGGAGACCUGCCGUAUUGACCAUGACACCUGUGGCACGGUCAUAUUCAAGCCCCCACUCCCUAUCUCAUAUUUCAAGAGAUGCAUGAAGAUGUCAGAAUGCAUGUUGCUGGGAAGCAACAAGGACAUUGAUGCCUAUUGCUGCACCUCCAACCAAUGCAACUGAGAGACACAUCCUCUGUCUAACAUACUGUAUACUAUACAGUCCAUUAAUUGUACUAAGCUGAAUAUCACUAAUCAAUCCACAUGACUGAAACUGUCAAGAAGUUACACAAAUAAAGUUGUAUGUUUGCAUUUAUA